rnacentral:rRNA from 1 species
UGAGGAAUAUUGGUCAAUGGACGCAAGUCUGAACCAGCCAUGCCGCGUGAAGGAUGAAGGCGUUCUGCGUUGUAAACUUCUUUUAUCUGGGAAGAAACCUACGAUUUCUAUUGUAGCCGACGGUACCAGAGGAAUAAGCACCGGCUAACUCCGUGCCAGCAGCCGCGGUAAUACGGAGGGUGCAAGCGUUAUCCGGAUUCACUGGGUUUAAAGGGUGUGUAGGCGGAUAUUUAAGUCAGUGGUGAAAUCUCCGGGCUCAACCCGGAAACUGCCAUUGAUACUAUUUAUCUUGAAUUCUGUUGAGGUAGGCGGAAUACAUCAUGUAGCGGUGAAAUGCUUAGAUAUGAUGUAGAACACCGAUUGCGAAGGCAGCUUACUAAGCAGAUAUUGACGCUGAGGCACGAAAGCGUGGGGAUCAAACAGGAUUAGAUACCCUGGUAGUCCACGCCCUAAACGAUGAUUACUCGACAUACGCGAUAUUACAGUGUGUGU